GACGAACGCUGGCGGCGUGCUUAACACAUGCAAGUCGAACGGAAAGGCCCUGCUUUUGUGGGGUGCUCGAGUGGCGCACGGGUGAGUAACACGUGAGUAACCUGCCCUUGACUUUGGGAUAACUUCAGGAAACUGGGGCUAAUACCGGAUAGGAGCUCCUGCUGCAUGGUGGGGGUUGGAAAGUUUCGGCGGUUGGGGCUGGACUCGCGGCUUAUCAGCUUGUUUGUGGGGUAGUGGCUUACCAAGGCUUUGACGGGUAGCCGGCCUGAGAGGGUGACCGGCCACAUUGGGACUGAGAUACGGCGCAGACUCCUACGGGAGGCAGCAGUGGGGAAUAUUGCACAAUGGGCGGAAGCCUGAUGCAGCAACGCCGCGUGCGGGAUGACGGCCUUCGGGUUGUAAACCGCUUUCGCCUGUGACGAAGAGUGAGUGACGGUAAUGGGUAAAGAAGCACCGGCUAACUACGUG
rnacentral:rRNA from 1 species